rnacentral:rRNA from 1 species
GAGUUUGAUCGUGGCUCAGGAUGAACGCUAGCUACAGGCUUAACACAUGCAAGUCGAGGGGCAGCAUGAAUAUUGGCUUGCCAAUAUUUGAUGGCGACCGGCGCACGGGUGAGUAACACGUAUCCAACCUUCCGGUUACUCGGGGAUAGGCUUUCGAAAGAAAGAUUAAUACCCGAUGUUGUGUAUCUUUCUCCUGAAAGAUACGCCAAAGGAUUCCGGUAACCGAUGGGGAUGCGUUCCAUUAGGCAGUUGGCGGGUAACGCCCACCAAACCUUCGAUGGAUAGGGGGUUCUGAGAGGAACGGUCCCCCCAAUUGGAACUGAGACACGGUCCAAACUCCUACGGGAGCAGCAGUGA